rnacentral:rRNA from 1 species
ACGAACGCUGGCGGUGUGCUUAACACAUGCAAGUCGAACGGAAAGGCCCUGCUUUUGUGGGGUGCUCGAGUGGCGAACGGGUGAGUAACACGUGAGUAACCUGCCCUUGACUUUGGGAUAACUUCAGGAAACUGGGGCUAAUACCGGAUAGGAGCUCCUGCUGCAUGGUGGGGGUUGGAAAGUUUCGGCGGUUGGGGAUGGACUCGCGGCUUAUCAGCUUGUUGGUGGGGUAGUGGCUUACCAAGGCUUUGACGGGUAGCCGGCCUGAGAGGGUGACCGGCCACAUUGGGACUGAGAUACGGCCCAGACUCCUACGGGAGGCGGCAGUGGGGAAUAUUGCACAAUGGGCGGAAGCCUGAUGCAGCAACGCCGCGUGCGGGAUGACGGCCUUCGGGUUGUAAACCGCUUUCGCCUGUGACGAAGCGUGAGUGACGGUAAUGGGUAAAGAAGCACCGGCUAACUACGUG